rnacentral:lncRNA from 1 species
AACCCAAAGCCUCUUGCAAACUUUUCCAAAAUCUAGAAGUAAAUCUUGGAUCUCUAUCUGACACAAUGCUCGAAGGAACACCAUGCAACCUCACGAUCUCCUUGAUAUAAAUCUCUGCCAACUGGGCAACAGGGAAACUAAUAUUGAUCGGUAGAAAAUGAGCCGAUUUCGUCAAUCUAUCAACAAUAACCCAAAUUGCGUC